UACUCGAGUGGCGAACGGGUGAGUAACACGUGGGUGAUCUGCCCUGCACUCUGGGAUAAGCCUGGGAAACUGGGUCUAAUACCGGAUAGGAACCAUCUUUAGUGUGGUGGUUGGAAAGUUUUUUCGGUGUAGGAUGAGCUCGCGGCCUAUCAGCUUGUUGGUGGGGUAACGGCCUACCAAGGCGGCGACGGGUAGCCGGCCUGAGAGGGUGUACGGCCACAUUGGGACUGAGAUACGGCCCAG
rnacentral:rRNA from 1 species